rnacentral:rRNA from 1 species
UACAGAGGGGGCAAGCGUUGUUCGGAAUUACUGGGCGUAAAGGGCGCGUAGGCGGCCUCUUAAGUCGAACGUGAAAUCCCCGGGCUCAACCCGGGAACUGCGUCCGAUACUGGGAGGCUUGAAUCCGGGAGAGGGGUGUGGAAUUCCAGGUGUAGCGGUGAAAUGCGCAGAUAUCAGGAGGAACACCGAUGGCGAAGGCAGGUCUCUGGGCAUUAACUGACGCUGAGGAGCGAAAGCAUGGGGAGCGAACAGG